rnacentral:rRNA from 1 species
AACGAACGCUGGCGGCAGGCCUAACACAUGCAAGUCGAGCGAGGUAGCAAUACCUAGCGGCGGACGGGUGAGUAACGCGUGGGAACGUGCCCCUUGGUACGGAAUAGCCCCGGGAAACUGGGAGUAAUACCGUAUGAGCUCUACGGAGGAAAGAUUUAUCGCCAAGGGAUCGGCCCGCGUUGGAUUAGGUAGUUGGUGGGGUAAUGGCCUACCAAGCCGACGAUCCAUAGCUGGUUUGAGAGGAUGAUCAGCCACGCUGGGACUGAGACACGGCCCAGACUCCGACGGGAGGCAGCAGUGGGGAAUCUUAGACAAUGGGCGCAAGCCUGAUCUAGCCAUGCCGCGUGAGCGAUGAAGGCCUUAGGGUUGUAAAGCUCUUUCAGCUGGGAAGAUAAUGACUGUACCAGCAGAAGAAGCCCCGGCUAACUCCGUGCCAGCAGCCGCCGUAA